UGAGGGGGGCUUCUCCUAGUACGAGAGGACCGGAGUGGACGCAUCACUGGUGUUCGGGUUGUCAUGCCAAUGGCACUGCCCGGUAGCUAAAUGCGGAAGAGAUAAGUGCUGAAAGCAUCUAAGCACGAAACUUGCCCCGAGAUGAGUUCUCCCUGACUCCUUGAGAGUCCUGAAGGAACGUUGAAGACGACGACGUUGAUAGGCCGGGUGUGUAAGCGCAGCGAUGCGUUGAGCUAACCGGUACUAAUGAACCGUGAGGCUUAACCUUACAACGCCGAAG
rnacentral:rRNA from 1 species